rnacentral:rRNA from 1 species
UACGUAGGGUGCAAGCGUUAAUCGGAAUUACUGGGCGUAAAGCGUGUGCAGGCGGUUUUGUAAGUCUGUCGUGAAAGCCCCGGGCUCAACUUGGGAAUUGCGAUGGAGACUGCAAGGCUUGAAUCUGGCAGAGGGGGGUAGAAUUCCACGUGUAGCAGUGAAAUGCGUAGAGAUGUGGAGGAACACCGAUGGCGAAGGCAGCCCCCUGGGUCAAGAUUGACGCUCAUGCACGAAAGCGUGGGGAGCAAACAGG